rnacentral:rRNA from 1 species
GAUGAACGCUGGCGGCGUGCCUAAUACAUGCAAGUCGAGCGAACAGACGAGGAGCUUGCUCCUCUGACGUUAGCGGCGGACGGGUGAGUAACACGUGGAUAACCUACCUAUAAGACUGGGAUAACUUCGGGAAACCGGAGCUAAUACCGGAUAAUAUAUUGAACCGCAUGGUUCAAUAGUGAAAGACGGUUUUGCUGUCACUUAUAGAUGGAUCCGCGCCGCAUUAGCUAGUUGGUAAGGUAACGGCUUACCAAGGCAACGAUGCGUAGCCGACCUGAGAGGGUGAUCGGCCACACUGGAACUGAGACAAGGUCCAGAAUCCUACGGGAGGAAGCAGUAGGGAAUCUUACGCAAAGGGCGAAAGCCUGACGGAGCAACGGCGCGUGGGUGAUGAAGGUCUUCGGAUCGUAAAACUCUGUUAUUAGGGAAGAACAAAUGUGUAAGUAACUAUGCACGUCUUGACGGUACCUAAUCAGAAAGCCACGGCUAACUACGUG